AGGAAUUGGGACAAAAGUUACAUGGAUCGACGUUUGGGGUGGCUAGAUUCGCGUUUUCGACUUGCCAUUUACACAGCAGUCACUUCAGAGCCAAUUUGACUAUAGUUCUGGACCUUAUUUCGAAAACCUCAAAGAAUGAAAGUUGUAGAUCUACUUUUCCUCUUUCCGGAACAUCUUGAAUCAUCAAAAUCGGAGUUCGGACGAAGACGUUAUGGCCAUUUUCCCAAAGGACGUCGGAG
rnacentral:lncRNA from 1 species